UGUGAAAGCCCGGGGCUCAACCUCGGAAUUGCAUUUGAAACUGGCAGACUAGAGUACUGUAGAGGGGGGUAGAAUUUCAGGUGUAGCGGUGAAAUGCGUAGAGAUCUGAAGGAAUACCGGUGGCGAAGGUAAACGAUGUCUACUUGGAGGUUGUGGCCUUGAGCCGUGGCUUUCGGAGCUAACGCGUUAAGUAGACCGCCUGGGGAGUACGGUCGCAAGAUUAAAACUCAAAUGAAUUGACGGGGGCCCGCACAAGCGGUGGAGCAUGUGGUUUAAUUCGAUGCAACGCGAAGAACCUUACCUACUCUUGACAUCCAGAGAACUUUCCAGAGAUGGAUUGGUGCCUUCGGGAACUCUGAGACAGGUGCUGCAUGGCUGUCGUCAGCUCGUGUUGUGAAAUGUUGGGUUAAGUCCCGCAACGAGCGCAACCCUUAUCCUUGUUUGCCAGCGAGUAAUGUCGGGAACUCCAGGGAGACUGCCGGUGAUAAACCGGAGGAAGGUGGGGACGACGUCAAGUCAUCAUGGCCCUUACGAGUAGGGCUACACACGUGCUACAAUGGCGCAUACAGAGGGCAGCCAACUUGCGAAAGUGAGCGAAUCCCAAAAAGUGCGUCGUAGUCCGGAUUGGAGUCUGCAACUCGACUCCAUGAAGUCGGAAUCGCUAGUAAUCGUGGAUCAGAAUGCCACGGUGAAUACGUUCCCGGGCCUUGUACACACCGCCCGUCACACCAUGGGAGUGGGCUGCAAAAGAAGUAGGUAGUUUAACCUUCGGGGGGACGCUUACCACUUUGUGGUUCAUGACUGGGGUGAAGUCGUAACAAGGUAGCGCUAGGGGAACCUGGCGCUGGAUCACCUCCUUAAACGAUGAU
rnacentral:rRNA from 1 species